AUGUCUCCAUCUUAUUUAAUCUUCAUUUGUAUGGCUGCUGUUGCAGUUAAAGAAAGUUGUGCAGAUUUGGUUCCCACUCCCACUAUUGUAUUUUCCCCUGGGUACAUCAAUGUAGCUACACCUGUUACAAUACGCUGUGAGUCACCAAAAGGCACAGAGUGCAAAUUCUACAAAGAUCACGACCCCAACCCUAUAAGGAAACUGGAUUACAAGCAGGGUGCUUGCCAGUUCAAGUUGUUCUGGAAUGAGUUCAAAAGGUGGAACAAGACUGAAGUAGAUCUCAGCUGUGUAAUUCUACAGAACAGAGAAGGUGAAACGAUCAAAACCUCAAAACCUAGUGAUGCUCAAAGACUUAAUGUGGGUGAUCCAAUUGGAAAGCCCAGUGUUCAUGUGUUUAAGAUUGGGAAAUACCUCAAUCUUCGAUGUGAGGCCAAGGCUGGCACCUCAUGCUACUUUUAUCUGAACAUUGGUGACUCACACUUUAAAAAACUACCCUACAAAGACAAUGUCUGUUUGGGGAGAGUGGCAGAAGAGGAACUGCUGAGGAAGAAGAGCAGUGCUGGAGAGAUCUUCAUCACCUGUGCUGUGGAGCUGGUGGUAGAGGGUGAAGAUACUGUGACAUCACAGCAUAGUGAACCCCUCGGUAUCACCAUAGAUGGAGCUACUAGUUCCCCAUCAACGUUCAGUUUAAUCACAACUGUUCAGGAGAAGACAAGCAGCAAUGUCACAGACCAAGGAAGAGGUACAAAGUUCCACGUCGUCAUCAGUCUGGGUACUUGUUCCCUUUUCCUGGUUCUGCUAGCUGGGUGUGUGCUGGGUGUUCUCCAACGCAAGUGUGGGGUUCAAGGCAGGCCUGUAAAUACUGGAAGCCCACCUGAACAGCAAGACCAAACCCCACCAUGUGUCUAUUCUGUCAUCACAAAGCCUUCUAGGGAUGAGGAAGAGGACACUAGUCUGCAAUACGCUACAGUGACAUAUACCGGUGACCAAGCUAGUUGUCAAUAUGCAACAGUGACAUCUACCGGUAACCAAGUUGAACCUGGGCGCACCAAGAUCAAGUUUGAAAUAGCUGGAGAGUACGCCCUCUUAGCAGAAUCAUAGAAGAAGAAACAUUUACUGGAUAACAUGUUUUGCCAUAGUUUACAGUUACAAUCCUAUAUUUUGUUUUCAUAUUGGAUCAUAAUUUACUCAUAGUACAAAAACAUAUCCUGCCACAAAAUCAAAGACUAAAGAUAUCUACUCCUUUCUGAAAACAAGCAUCUUCAACUAUUUGCAUUUUAGGUUAAAUGAAAUAAAUGAAAAGUACACUGUCUGAAACAUAAAAUAAAUGUUUUCCUUAAUUGAGUUACCGAAUCUAGUCAGCAGUCACCAAUCAGUAGUCACCAAUCUAUUUCACUCCUUGACAAGAGUCAAUAUAGACUCAAACCCACAAGAGGGUAGAACACAUGUCAAACUUUGCUUGUUACAUCUCUACAUCUCUCUCUCUACAUCUCUCUCUUUAACCAUGUCUGGUGUAUAUUAGUUUUCAGUGGUGGAAAAAGUACUCAACAAACAUACUUAAGUAAAAGUAAAGACACCUUCAUAGAAAAUGACUCAAGUAAUAGUAAAAAUCACCCAGUAAAAUUCUACUUGUGUAAAAGGCUAUAAGUAUUUGAUUUUAAAAUAUACUUCAGUAUCAAAAGUGAAUGUAUAACUCAUUUCAAAUUCUUUAUCUUAAGCAAACCAGAAUGCACCAUUUUCUUUUUAUUCUUCUUUUUUAUAGAAGGCCAGGGGCACACUCCAUCACUCAGCCAUCAGUUACAAACAAAUCAUGUCAGUUUAGUGAGUCCGCCAGAUCAGAGGCAGUAGGGAUGACAAGGGAUGUUCAGUUGAUAAGUGUGUGAAUUUUACAAUUUUUCUGUCCUGCUAAGCAUUCAAAAUGUAAUGAGUACUUUCGGGUGUCAAGGAAAAUGUAUGAAGUAAAAAUUACAAUGUUUUCUAAAGGAAUGUAGUGAACUAAAAGUAAAAGAAGACACAAAUAUGAAUAUAGUAUAGAUACCCCAAAAACUACUUAAGUAUUACUUUAAAGUAUUGUUACUUAAGUACUUUACACCACUGUUACUUUAAAAAAUAUGUUUUGUUAAUAUCACAGUUUACUUACAGUAUGUGACUUUACUUCCACCUGUUGAUACACUACCUCAUAUUUCCUCUCUCUGCUUCCUGAUUUUCUGCUACCCUCUUCCUGUAGUCUGUCAACAUCUGUUCCUCUCAGACCAUUUGCAAACCCACAUGAUAAUUGCAAUAAUUCAAUAAUAUUUUAAAUAUACUUUUUGCAAUUGCAAGCGGUUCCUGCCAGUUAGGCCCAACCUAAUCUGGAAUACCCAGAACAAAAUCUUGCAUGAACAUAACUCUCAUAACCUCUGUGCUCCCGACAGACGUAACAUGUUCGUUACAGAUCUUAGGACAGAUAUGCCCACCCAGAUCAGUCUUAUCUACCCCUGCAAUUGGAGCACAUUACAAACCUAUGACAGCUAUAGGUAUGAUAGUGUAUAUGAAAAUGAUGCACCAUCACAGAAGGGUCAUAGGUGGGAGCUAUUGUUUCACCAUAAAAGGAGAGAGGGGAGACACAAAAUACAGUGUGUCACUCUCACACUCACUACUGUGGCAUUGCCUGAGUCAUUAUCUACAGCCAACAGCUCCUGUGUAUAUUUCUAAAAACAUUUUCGAGAGCAGGUGAAGAUAGUCGCCCCAGAAAGCAUUUCUCAUUUCCAUAUAUCCUGUUUCACAUCUCUCUCUGCAUUAUACAUAAUAACAGGUGGCAGGUUUAAAGGACUCUUAACCGUGAUCCAAUGAAUGUGCUGCUGGUGCCUUAUGUGUGAGUUAUGUAUUAUUAAUAAUAUCAUUAUUGUACUGUAUAAUAAAAUGUUAAAUAAUUGACUUUCAAAACAAUAUCCCUAGUUGUACUUUUGGUUGGAAUGACAAUGAACGACAUUUCUUGUCGUCUCUCUUGACCUACAGUUAACAGAUGCAGGUACGUUUCUCCCCUUCUCUUGACCUACAGUUAACAGAUGCAGGUACGUUUCUCCCCUUCUCUUGACCUACAGUUAACAGAUGCAGGUACGUUUCUCCCCUUCUCUUGACCUACAGUUAACAGAUGCAGGUACGUUUCUCCCCUUCUCUUGACCUACAGUUAACAGAUGCAGGUACGUUUCUCCCCUUCUCUUGACCUACAGUUAACAGAUGCAGGUACGUUUCUCCUCUUCUCUUGCUUGUUUUGUCAUUCGACAUUAGGGAUGUACUUGUGUGAUUUGCAUGGUAAUCAAAGGCUGGGAAAUAAAUGUUGCGCUCUGAAGAAGGGAAUAAUCUUGCAUGUUGAAUUUGUUUUAGAACGGACACAAAUCGUAGUUUUUUCACUACGAUGUUGUCAUACCUAUCAUUCCUCAACUACCUCUCUCUUUCCUCAACUACCUCUCUCUUUCCUCAACUACCUCUCUCUUUCCUCAACUACCUCUCUCUUUCCUCAUCCUUCAAAGGGACAAGGAGAAACAGACAAACACUUGGAUUACCCAGAAGAAGCACCAGAUCUCAGUAAGCCUGAAGUUUGUGACCCUGACUGAAGUGGUUGAGCUGAGCAGUGAGUCCUCUGCCCUUGUAGAGGGUCAGCAGUGUUUGUUCUAUGUGGAUUCUAAACUCAAGGAGCUUGGUCGAUCAAAUGCCAGCCACAACCAAUGCUCCCUCCAAGUAAAGGGGUCAGAGCUGCCUGGGUGGAAGCCCAGAGGGCUGUGGUCAAAGGUCACCGUCCAGUGUCAUUAUGAAGAAGAGAAGAAGAAAAGGCAAUACCAUGACAUAAUUAUGUUUUUAUGUAGCUGCCUCACACUUUUCCUCCACUUUGCCACCAUAGUGCUUUUUUGGUUCUGUGCAUAAACAGUACAGUGGGCUGGCACACAACAAAUAAGCAUGUUAUAAAUGAGUAACCGUUGGAAUUGUGGUUUAUAGAAAGGAUUUGAUGAUUUGAUGUUUACUUUCAAAUAGUCAUUUGUCCUCAUCCCUUUGUUACAAUAACAGGAAGGUGAAGAUGAUUUGUGCUCUGCCACCUUGUCCCAUGCUGGUGCUCCUCCAUCGUACUCAGUCAAGUUUGAACAAGGCCAUGACUAUGCCACAGUGGUCAUAUACUGACCAGCAUUGCCAAACUGAAUGGACAUGAAAGGACUUCCACAUGGAUAGAUUGCUUGACUUUAACACCUACAUUUCAAUUUUCUUUCCAAGAAAUCAAUUGCAUAAAUCUAUUUGCAAUGUAGUUUUGAUUAUCCAAUUUGUCACAUUAAGAGAACAAUAAAGUUUUUGUAUUCCACCAUCGGCUUAAUUUCAGUU
rnacentral:lncRNA from 1 species